rnacentral:misc_RNA from 1 species
UUACCUCUCCUCUACCUGAGGGGAAACAUAACUACUGGCCCUGAGUCGCCUUUUAAGGGGGCUUCACGGCUAAAAUGCUCGGUUAUUCUUGGCUGAUGACAACCUUUUGGUAAGAUUUAUCCUACUAAAAAGACUCUAGUCGUUCAAGAGGUGGACCUCCCCGUAGACUACUAUGGAGACCCCAACAA